GGCCUCGAGUUUGUACUCUCUUCAACCGAUCUCAUAUAAACUCGGACUCAAGAGUAGAGAGCAUCUGUUGUGGAUCUCUAUCUCGACCUCAGCCGGUCAUGCCCAUAGUGCCAAUCGAAGAACUAGGAGGCCGGACUUCAGCAGCUAGAAGAGAUUAGCAGGAGACACAUGCAUGGUGGUUCAGACUUCAUCCUUGACCAAGGUGUUCACCUCUACCUGACCGAUGUACCUUUAGGUCAGCCUGAGCCGACCUGCACUUAUGGCACACAGCGGGCUCCAUUGACAAGAUCCACUCCACUUUCAGCUUAGGGAAACC
rnacentral:lncRNA from 1 species